rnacentral:rRNA from 1 species
GACGAACGCUGGCGGCGUGCUUAACACAUGCAAGUCGAACGGAAAGGCCUCUUUCGGGGGGUACUCGAGUGGCGAACGGGUGAGUAACACGUGAGUAACCUGCCCUUGACUUUGGGAUAACUUCAGGAAACUGGGGCUAAUACCGGAUAGGAGCUCCUGCUGCAUGGUGGGGGUUGGAAAGUUUCGGCGGUUGGGGAUGGACACGCGGCUUAUCAGCUUGUUGGUGGGGUAGUGGCUUACCAAGGCUUUGACGGGUAGCCGGCCUGAGAGGGUGACCGGCCCCAUUGGGACUGAGAUACGGCCCAGACUCCUACGGGAGGCAGCAGUGGGGAAUAUUGCACAAUGGGUGGGAGCCUGAUGCAGCAACGCCGUGUGCGGGAUGACGGCCUUCGGGUUGUAAACCGCUUUCGCUCAUGACGAAGCUUUGUGUGACGGUAGUGGGUAAAGAAGCACCGGCUAACUACGUG